UACGAAGGGGGCUAGCGUUGCUCGGAAUCACUGGGCGUAAAGCGCACGUAGGCGGAUUUUUAAGUCAGGGGUGAAAUCCUGGAGCUCAACUCCAGAACUGCCUUUGAUACUGGGAAUCUCGAGUCCGGGAGAGGUGAGUGGAACUGCGAGUGUAGAGGUGAAAUUCGUAGAUAUUCGCAAGAACACCAGUGGCGAAGGCGGCUCACUGGCCCGGUACUGACGCUGAGGUGCGAAAGCGUGGGGAGCAAACAGGG
rnacentral:rRNA from 1 species